AAAAUUUGAUUAUAAAUGUUUUGGGGGGUUAAACAUAAAUGAAAUGAAAAAGAUAGUCACACUAGUACAACUGAACUUGGUUGAAAUCUUCUUUCAAAUGACCAGCAUUAAUUAGAUUAUGUGGCACAGUUCAUAGACAUGAUGAAGUAAAAAAAGCAAGAUGUUUGAAGAUUUGGGUAUUGAUGUGAUAAGGCAGCGUUUGAGGGUUACAAUGCCUGUAUUUUUGCUCAUGGUCAGAUGGGGGCCAGUAAAUCCUACAGUAUGAUGUGACAGGAGAUCCAAACCUUCAUUAAUCGUGCAUGGAAAUCAGAGAGAGGUGAAGGCUCAACUUCAUCCAUAUCCAAAUGUUAAACUGUUUGCUCUAAGUUUGAUGUUUGUGCAGUCACUAGUAUCAAGAUAUGUCCAGAAGUGCAUACAGUAACCAAAAUGGCGCAAAUU